rnacentral:tRNA from 1 species
GCCCCCGUAACUCAAUGGAUAGAGUGCGAGUUUGCGGAACUUGAUAUAGGGGUCCGAUUCCUCUCGGGGGCA